AUCUAUGGUCAUACCACGUGAAAGCGCCCGAUCUCAUCUCAUCUUGGAAGCCAAGCAGGGUCAGGCCUGGUUAGUACCUGGAUGGCAGAAUGUCAAAUGCUACAGACU
ensembl:rRNA 5S_rRNA 5S ribosomal RNA